rnacentral:rRNA from 1 species
AUUGAACGCUGGCGGCAGGCCUAACACAUGCAAGUCGAACGAGUGGCGGACGGAUGAGUAGUGUCUGGGAAACUGCCCGAUGGAGGGAGAUCACUACUGGAAACAGUAGCUAAUACCGCAUACUAUCGGAUGUGCCCAUAUGGGAUUAGCUAGUAGGUGGGGUAACGGCUCACCUAGGCGACGAUCCCUAGCUGGUCUGAGAGUAGGACCAGCCAGACUGGAACUGAGACACGGUCCACACUCCUACGGGAGGCAGCAGUGGGGAAUAUUGCACAAUGGGCGCAAGCCUGAUGCAGCCAUGACGCGUGUAUGAAGAAGGCCUUCGGGUUGUAAAGUACUUUCAGCGAGGAGGCGUUACUCGCAGAAGAAGCACCGGCUAACUCCGUGCCAGCAGCCGCGGUAAUUC